CAGCAGCCGCGGUAAUACGGAGGGUGCUAGCGUUGUUCGGAAUCACUGGGCGUAAAGCGCGUGUAGGCGGCCUGUCAAGUCUGAUGUGAAAGCCCGGGGCUCACCCCCGGAAGUGCAUUGGAAACUGACAGGCUUGAGUCCCGGAGAGGAGGGUGGAAUUCCUGGUGUAGCGGUGAAAUGCGUAGAUAUCAGGAGGAACACCGGUGGCGAAGGCGGCUUCCUGGAUCAAGACUGACGCUGAGGCUCGAAAGCGUGGGGAUCAAACAGGAUUAGAUACCCUGGUAGUCCACGCCCUAAACUAUGUCAACUAGACGUUGGCCCCAUUAAAGGGGUUAGUGUCGAAGCUAACGCGUUAAGUUGACCGCCUGGGGAGUACGGCCGCAAGGUUGAAACUUAAAGGAAUUGACGG
rnacentral:rRNA from 1 species